CCUCCCAGCUCCCCCUGGGACUAUUAGAUGACAGGGAGAGGGUGAGGGUGGGCCCCAUGCCUUAAGGUGGACCUCAAGUUGAGGGAAGGCUUUCUAGACCGUGCCCUUAUUCUCUGUCCCAGUCUCAGGCUCUGCCUCUUGGUUAAGUUUGGGGUCCAGAAACCUUCAGAGGAUGGAGAUGACACCCAUAAAUAUUAGAGACUGAGUAGGGGGCGGGAAGCGGUGGCGGCAGCGCACCCCCGGGGUGCAACUGCCCUGGAACUCCAAGUGGUGGCUUCAAAACUGGAUUAAAAUUUAUUUCCGCGAAACCCUGGAGUCACGGUCCGGCGCCGACUGGCGUUUUCUGCCGUAGACUGAGAACGCGUCAGGGAUGGCUCCGUUGGCAGCGCGCGCGAGCGCCCCCGGGCCGCGCCUGGAGGGUUGACAGCGACUCGCGGGCGAACUGUGAACCCGCAGCCCCUGGGCUCCGAGCGCAAACCUGGCGACUGGGAGGGCCCGGGGAGCGGGUGAGCCAGCGCCAGCCCCGCCGGCCCCAGGAGCGCGAAUUUCUCUACAUUUCCGGCUGUGGCCGCAGUUGGAGGAUGGGAUCAAAACGGGCAAAAAAGUGCGACCUGGGCCGAGGUGUCGGAUCGCCUCGAGGUGGGAGGCCGAGGUGUUGGAUCGCCUGAGGCGUCCUCAUCCCUUUUCACCUCGGAGCUCAGCGUCUUCCUCAGCAGCACUUCCAUGUCAUCUGCCCCGUGAAAUCAGCCUAACGCCGUUUCUCAAUGACGUGGAUCGCCCUAGGCCACCGCAACCUUCCGGAAGCUCUCUCAGCUCAGUUCCCAUUCUCCCACCAUCUCUUGGUUCUCCUUCUACCUCACCGGUUGCUAGUCCUCCGCUUCGCAGCUGAAAAUGUGCCCGGGGCCUACUGUGGGCCUAGCCAGGCCUGCUUACGCAGUGCAGUUUCCCAUGAAUGAUGCCCAGUCAUUAUCACAUAACCUGUGGCAAGCCAGCAAGAUGGCCCUGGUGACAGCAAAAGAAACUGCACUAGGACCUGAAUGUAGAUCUCAGUCAUGUUCCUUACUAACAGCACGUUUUGCAACCAUGCGUUAAAGAAACAUCUGACUCACAACAAAAUUUUAAAGGGUUUAUUUGAGUGAAAAGCAAUUUAUGAAUUGGGGAACACCUGACUGAAAGAGCGUUAGUAUUCCAGAGACAAAACAUCAAGUGCAAGUUUUUAUUGGGAAAAUGUAGAAGCACAAUAAAGAAAUUAUUUGAUUGGUUACA
rnacentral:lncRNA from 1 species